rnacentral:rRNA from 1 species
CCUACGGGUGACAGCAGUGAGGAAUAUUGGUCAAUGGACGAGAGUCUGAACCAGCCAAGUAGCGUGAAGGAUGACUGCCCUAUGGGUUGUAAACUUCUUUUAUAUGGGAAUAAACUGUUCCACGUGUGGGAUUUUGUAUGUACCAUAUGAAUAAGGAUCGGCUAACCCCGUGCCAGCAGCCGCGCUAAUACGGAGGAUCCGAGCGUUAUUCGGAUUUAUCGGGUUUAAAGGGAGCGUAGGUGGAUUGUUAAGUCAGUUGUGAAAGUUUGCGGCUCAACCGUAAAAUUGCAGUUGAAACUGGCAGUCUUGAGUACAGUAGAGGGGGGCGGAAUUCGUGGUGUAGCGGUGAAAUGCGUAGAUAUCACGAAGAACUCCGAUGGCGAAGGCAGUUCACUGGACUGCAACUGACGCUGAGGCUCGAAAGUGUGGGUAGCAAACAGGAUUAGAUACCCUUGUAGUC